rnacentral:rRNA from 1 species
AUGGCUUCACCCUCUUCCGCCGGCGGCCGCGGCUGCGGGCUCCGGUGGCUGGACUCCAACCCUUCCACCGUCGGAUCUGCUAGCCCGGCCGCGCCUCGCUCCUUCCGGGCCGUACUCUGCGAGGGGCCCCUUGCGUCAUCCAAGGGGGACUCGCAGCCCCUGCCACGCCCCGGGCUGAGAUCAGAGGUUCACCGCGUCAGCUUCGAGGCGCCCUGGGAGGCCGCGCGCGGCCGCAAGCGUCCUCGCCGCCGCUCCCCUCGUCGCCGCCGGACGGACCCAACCUCUCCGCGGCGCUCCCCUCACGCGGCCGCGCCCGGCGAGUGCCCCCGCUGCUACAGCACCGGCCACCCUCGCUCGGAGUGCCGCCGGGCCAUCUGCUGCCGCCGCUGCAGGUUCCCGGGCCACGUUGCUCGCGACUGCCCCAACCCGCGCUCCCCGGCCCCCUCUGCCGAGCCGCCAUCCAAGCGCCGCUGCGGCUCCCCUCCGCGGCCUCGCCUCCCCCCAGCUUCGCCCUCUCCCUCGAGCCCGGACGCGAGUGUAGCCGGCCCAAGCCACCCCGCGCUCUCCGGGUGUGGGGGCCGGUCCUCGCCCGCCUCGACUUCGUCGUCGCGCUCCUCUCAAAGCAACUCCUCCAACACCUCGAGCAGGACGCCGGUCGUGCUCUCCGGCCAUCCCGCCCUCCGCCCCGCGUCUGCCGUGUGCUACCUGCCGCGCACGGCCAGGCUGGUCGCCGCCGAGACGGAGCUGCGGGAGCGCGCCCUCACGGCCACCGUCGCUGGGAACCGCUCAGGCAUUGGCCGCGAGGAGGUUACUGGGCUGCUGCGCGAAUGA